rnacentral:rRNA from 1 species
UACAGAGGGUGCGAGCGUUGUCCGGAACCACUGGGCGUAAAGGGCGCGUAGGCGGCCUGGCAAGUCGAUGGUGAAAGCUCAGGGCUCAACUCUGAGUCGGCCAUCGAUACUGCUAUGGCUCGAGUCUGGUAGAGGCAGAUGGAAUUCCUGGUGUAGCGGUGAAAUGCGUAGAUAUCAGGAGGAACACCGGUGGUGUAGACGGCUCUCUGGACCGUAACUGACGCUGAGGCACGAAAGCGUGGGUAGCAAACAGG